UGCAGUCGAACGAACUCUUCGGAGUUAGUGGCAGACGGGUGAGUAACGCGUGGGAAUAUACCUUUCGGUACGGAACAACAGUUGGAAACGACUGCUAAUACCGUAUGCGCCCUACGGGGGAAAGAUUUAUCGCCGAAGGAUUAGCCCGCGUUGGAUUAGCUAGUUGGUGGGGUAAAGGCCUACCAAGGCGACGAUCCAUAGCUGGUCUGAGAGGAUGAUCAGCCACACUGGGACUGAGACACGGCCCAGACUCCUACGGGAGGCAGCAGUGGGGAAUAUUGGACAAUGGGGGCAACCCUGAUCCAGCCAUGCCGCGUGAGUGAUGAAGGCCCUAGGGUUGUAAAGCUCUUUCAGCGAGGAGGAUAAUGACGUUACUCGCAGAAGAAGCCCCGGCUAACUUCGUGCCAGCAGCCGCGGUAAUACGAAGGGGGCUAGCGUUGUUCGGAAUAACUGGGCGUAAAGCGCACGUAGGCGGACUUUUAAGUCAGGGGUGAAAUCCCAGAGCUCAACUCUGGAACUGCCUUUGAUACUGGAAGUCUUGAGUCCGAGAGAGGUGAGUGGAACUCCGAGUGU
rnacentral:rRNA from 1 species